GGCAACAAGUGUUUAGGGUUUCAUCCUCCCAUGUCCUGCAAGUUUGCCUUAUUAUUCAUUCUUUUAUUUUUGUGAUAGAAAUGUUUUCAUUUUUAGUUUACAAGAAACAUUUGAUUUAAUUUAAUUUAAUUUUAAUUUGUAAGUGAUGAAGUCAAGGGCUGAAGCAAUAUAGGGGAGAGCAGUAUUAAACUGUGGCUCUGAAAUACCCAUAGGUUUUCUAUGGGGUGCCCUGCUUUUCAAGCCCUAAACAUCAAAAUUAAAAUGGUAUCAUAGUACGGAUUUUGUGCUUUCUACACAAAUCCGCCUCCAAACGCCAUUACAUCACAACCAUACACUUCAUUACUCUCUUCUCUCUAUUUAUUUAACUUGUUUUCAUUUGAUUUGGUGUUUCUUUAAUAACCUAAACCUUAGAUUCUUGAACCUAUAGCUUAAAAUGGUGAGAUCUGUAUAAAUUUCAUACUAAUGAGUAUUGAGAUUUUGAAUAAUGAGAUCUGGCUUUUACUUGACAUGUGGAAAUUCGGAAUAAACUAUCCAGCGUUCCGUAUGAGUUAGAUGAGGACAGGAGGAACCGGACCACCAAUGCGUUGUUGCGGUCAAAAUAUGGUUAAAUCACGACCAUAACCUGUAUCCUAACCUUCUUUAAAUGUAUGCAGCUGUGGUUUGGCUUUAGAAAUGCUGUUGUGUUUGUGUGUGAUGGUGGGAAUGAUGUUUUACUUGUCGGUGUUGUAGUUUAUAUAUGUAGUUAAUUAAUCUGGCCAUGUCUGCAGCAAAGUCUAAUAGUGCAUUGUGAGUUUAUUUAUUAUACUUGGGGUAGUUAAGAAUGUGAUGAUUAAAGCAGGUACUUCUGAUAUAUGGUUUGACACAUCUAGUGUGGAUUCUCUUGGUGCAGCAGCUUACUACAUUGUAGGUGAUGCUGUGCCGGGCAUCUGGACUGUGUCUGCAUGAUUAUACAAUUAACUGCUCACUGAUUUUUUCACUGUCCAAGUUAUUCAUAAUACAAUACAAUGAUUAAGCAAUAGAAAGCUAUUUAUACUACUUGGAUUGGUGAUUUGUUCAGCUACAAUUUCUAUAUGUAGGUGAUUGUAAGUAUUUUUGUGACUCUAAGUUGUUAACUUAUGCAAUGUUAUGACUUGUUACAACACACUUGAAGAUGUGAGUUAUCCUUUGGUAAUAUUUUUUAUUGCGGAUUUAGUGUUAAUGUUUCACUCCAUAAAUCAUCCAUAUGCAUGUGCAUAUCAAGUCUUAUUCUGCGGUGCAGAAUCCUUUUCAUCAUAAGACAUUUUUAUCACAAGUGAUGUUCAAUUCUGGAAAUCAUGGAUAGUUGUACUGCAUAUUUAUGGAUAUGAACUUAAGAUAUUUGAGGUCAAUUGGAAAGAAAAAAUGGCCAUACAAUGGAACAAGACUUCAAUAAUAUUUUACACCUCAAAUUGAAGAAAACAAUCAAGUAUGUACGAGUUGGUAAUAACUUAGUUUUUGGCAUCACAGGUACCACCAAUGAGUCAGUGACUCUAAUUUUGGAAUCAUUCUCAUCAAAGCAAGAUAUUGUUAAAUGUAAAUGCUACCAAAGUUGACCAAUAUAAGUGUUGUCUGCUCAUUGAAUCUCCUUGGUGUUGAUAUACCCUUCACCAUCUGUACCUGUUAAUAUCAGUUGGAAGUUUUGUAACCGCAGAAUUGUUUACUUUCAUGUAUGGAAGAGCUUGAUGCUCUCUAAAGAUUUGAUAAAUCAAACCUUUUUGUUUGUUUCUAUCAACUCCAGCAAAUAUAAAUAAGUAAACAAAGUGGGCAUUAAAUUGAUUGAUGAUCGUCGAUAAUCUCAAUUACUACUGCUUCUAAGGGAAUGUUAGUUCUUGUUUCUUGUGUCUUAGGCUUAGUGACUAGUGAGAGACUUGGGAUAGGAUUAUCUCUGAUUCUAUUUCCUUGAAAUGGAAUCAACUUGCGAGUAAGGAUUCAAUGAAGGUGAUAAGAUGUCGAAUCAUCCACAAGAUUGUUGGUUUCACUUUUGUUGUCGAUGUGAGGAUAUCUUUUGUCCGUGAUCUAUAAGUAUUUCUUCAAGUGUUCUUGAAGCCUUGAUGAAUCUCGGAACCUAACUCAUCUAAACUCCAUUCACUGAAAAAAUAUGCAUAGUUAAAAUAUUAUUGCCACAAUUUAAACCUUCUAACCCCUUCAAUUUUCAUGUCUCUAGAACAUUCUAAUU
rnacentral:lncRNA from 1 species